AUACGGAGGGUGCAAGCGUUAUCCGGAAUCACUGGGCGUAAAGCGCGCGCAGGCGGUCUUUUAAGUUGGAUGUGAAAGCCUACGGCUCAACCGUAGAACUGCAUCCAAAACUAUUAGACUAGAGUGUGGGAGAGGAAGAUGGAAUUAGUUGUGUAGGGGUAAAAUCCGUAGAGAUAACUAGGAAUACCAAAAGCGAAGGCAAUCUUCUGGAACACUACUGACGCUGAGGCGCGAAAGCGUGGGGAGCAAACAGGAUUAGAAACCCCAGUAGUCC
rnacentral:rRNA from 1 species